GUGGCGGGGCUCCCUGAGGUUUUGACUUCGUGAGAGAGAGUAGGGGAGGAGAGGGGAGGGGAGAAGAGAGAGAGAGGGAGGGAGUAGCCGACGCGAGGCGACGAAGGAGGGGUGCGAUCUCGCUUUGGGGUUGGGUAGAGGCAGAGAGAGGCCUCCUGACCAACGCCUACCUGCCGCGGCGCGGCGAGCGGCGGCCCGCCAUCCCGAGCGGGGCUAGCCGCUCCCCCGCCACCCCACCCGGGUCCGUAUACUCCCGCGGCGUUCUGGCGCUUGCGUGCUACUCCCUAGAGAUGCUAGCAUGCGCGGUGUUCCUAGAGCGCGAGGAGCUCCUUAGCUUGUUCCUUGUUGCGCCACCGCCACGUCCUGCCCGUCUCCUGAGACUUGUCGCCCCUCACCGGGGGUUCUAUCUCCUGUUCGGAUGUUAUUCUUUUUCUGGUCACGGUUCACUACCAGGAGUACACUUUCGUCUUAGACCGUGAACAUUACAGACAAGCCGAGGAACGAGGAGAACGGAUGUGUCUCUAGAACGUGGACAACUAAGGUUAUACCUGACGCCUAGUAGAGUUUGCACGACACGUUCCAGUCUUAGUUCUUGAUUAAACAAUCAAGCAUCACCCUUUCCCGAGGCAUGUUUCCCUCCCCUUUUACUACUACUUGAAUCACGGUGAAGUUCGGUACGAAGGAUAAGGCUUUUACCACCUGUAUUCCGAUACCGCUCUAGGUAACGUCGUCUAAGUCUCCAAUUGUACGGCCGUUUUGCAUCUUCCGAUAACUCGCUAUGCUCCAGUGGAUCUCUUCUCACGGUACUACUAUCAUUGAGCACACAAUGACCAUGUAGUCGUCGUUCGUUUGAAGACGACCUAUUCUUUUUCCUAUUUGAUAGAUGAAGACGCAGUUCAGCACUAGAGUGACAGUUCCUGAUGUUCCUGUUUCUUGUAACGACCAGGAUUGUCUGAUUCUUUAAGGGAACACCUUCUUAGAUGUCUCUUCUUCUCUAGACUACAAGUAUAACGAGGUGGAUCGAGUAGACUGGCUAGUCGAGGACGUCUAAGAGGAAGUAAAUACUGGUUUUUCAAUGAGGCUUGAGUCAGGAGACAAUCACGUAGAGUUCCUAAUAGAGGAUUUUUCAGUUCGGUCCCAAAUCCCUUAAGUGUUCUAUUAAAUCGCGUUGUUGGAAGACUCUUUCAAGGUUUAUUACUGUACCUAGUAAGUGGUCCUCCUUUUAAUUCGUCCGGACACUAACCACCACUGUUCGUACUAUACCACCGAUCAACGUCAUGCUCAUCGUUUUUAUUUUAGUUCCGACCUAGAAGUAGUUGCCUUGACCUUUGACCGUGGACAACGUGCUCCUUACCGUCAGUUCUUGUGUGACUGUAAGAUAGACUACUAAAACGAUUCUCCUUACUGUUACAAGUUGUUCUGGUCUUGGUUCCAAAUGGUUGCCUAUUUCGAUCACUAUUUCUCAACUUAUGUGUCUUACUACGAUACUAUCUCACGCCCUUGAGUCUUUCGAAUUAUCUACAAUUACAAACACUAUAUACACCUCUACAGCCAUCCCUUAUAGAAGACCGAUGUACGUAAUCUACGGAACUCCCUCGCCUCGUAUGAAUAACGUACGCUCACUUUAACCUAUUCCAAGGUCUACCACUUACCAAUACACUUCUUACGGUCGAAUUACUUCUAGCUUAAUUUUGUUCUCCGUUGGCGCGACGUAGUUGUCAACUGUAAAGUUUACCCUUCUUGGUUCUAAGUCUUUCGUACUCGUUGGGAUUCUGGAACGUCUGGCGAAACUGAUUAAACCCGCGAGUUGUUUAACGAAGACCAUGUGGCCAUUGACUAGUGAACAGACCAUUACAUUUCGACGUAAGUCCGAGUUGACUAUGAUGUCUCCGUGCUGUUCACUUCACACGGUCGGGUUUACGGCCCUCCGACCUACGUUUCUCAUUUUUGAAACCCUCAUACCGUUUAGCAUUCUCCGAAGUUUAACAGUGGAGACUGUGCCUUUGUGCCGGUGGGUGAACGCCGUGUGGUAGUCGGCCUUCUAAUCCGUUCUUCAUGCUUUCAAGUCUUCUAAAUAGCUUAGUAUUCUUUAACGCUUAACGGUGACUAUACCUUAACGGUUACAGCUCACUUCCGGACGACUCAGGUGGAUUUAGCAGGUUCUCCGUACGUCUCUUACGCAGUAGGAGAUUAGGUUCCGGCAAGUUCUGUCUUUCGGGAUCCUUUGUACUGUAAAAGAGAGUAGUUUUGAGCAAAUUCUUUAGGUUAUUCCCUUUAGAAUUCGGUGGAUUAUUACGAGGUCACUUCCCACAAGUCCGUCAGUUUUCAAGGUACUGGAAUAGUGCCAGUAUAAGUAAUCCUUCGGACCGAUUACGGUUUCGCGGUCAAGGAAGUGGUGCUCCAGGAAAUAGCUUUGUUAACAGAAAGUUGUUAAGCUUCUCGCUUGGUUUCCAGUUCGUCAAUCGUCUUCCACACCGUUCGUUCGACUUCGGAUAUUUUGUAAGGGGUUAUCUACAAUCUCUUUUCCCCGGUUACUCUUUCGAAUACUUCAGUCUCAGUAAGUUCGCGCUCCCAAGUCAAUCAUUUCUGAGGUCAAGUAAUUUUGUCUUAUUUAGUAGAGAGAACAGAGCUCUACUUUUUGGUUCUUACAACUUCGACUACUCGCUAUUCUCAAAGAAUCUUUCUUCCGGAAGAAAAUAAGAAGUCUUUGGUGGAAAUAGUGGUUCCGGACUAUCAAGACACUUCAGCCCUCUAUCUUUUCAGCUGGUUCUAUUAGGUUCCGGACCUGGUUCGUAUGAUUUUUGAUCGUUUUUCGGUCCAUUGUAGCUUUUCUUCGUCUGGAGACGAAACAAAUUGUCACUUUUCGCCCCGUAACGAUAAGUGGUUUGUAGUUGUCCUCACCAAAGAAGAUUUCUACGACUAUGACAUUUCUGAAGACUAGGUGACGAAGGUCACCUUUUACAAUUGUUCCUAUUACUAACACACCCACUUCGAAGUGAGUAAGAAUCCUUUUUACUAUUAUUUUACAGUUGAUUAGGACUCCACGAAAGGUGUGGUAACCGGUACUGGACACUUUGUCUAAAUGUUUCAUACCACGGUUCUCGUUCACGAAGUCUUCUAAACUGAGGAUUACACCCUGUUACGGUCGGAAACCGGUACUGAAGACUUAGUGUUUAAUACCACAGUUCUCGUUCAAGAAGUCUUCUCAACUGAGGAUUACACCCUGUUACGGUCGGAAACCGGUACUGAAGACUUAGUCUAAAUGGUUCAUACCAAGGUUCUCUUUCACGAAGUCUUCUAAACUGAGGAUUACACCCUGUUACGGUCGUUCUCCAAAACCCUUUGUGACUUGUAUUCAGUUAAUUUUCACGUCUCCUUCAAGUCCGACGUCUUCUGUAUAACGGGCUCUCAGGUGUACUAGGGGAUUACCGUGUUUUUGAGAUACGGGGACUUUUGUUUAACUCGCUCGGUUUAAACUUCGUAGUUCUAAGAAAACUAGUCAACGGAUGAGAACCCUUAGAAAGGUCUUGAAAUCAAUAAGGUCUCGUCUGAAGGUAGACCGUUCCAUAGAAACUCCAAAGUUCUUGACCUUAGAGAAGGCUUGAUAUACUACCCUAAGUCCGGGUGAACAGGUGGACAUGGAGCAGGUUUCGUGAACUUCAUCAGUUUGUUAAUGGAGUCUCUUAAGCCGAGUAUCUUCAAGGUGCAACAAGUAGCACCGGUGUAGUUAAAUUCCUUCAUGUCGGCUCACUUCUAUCGUAACGAGAAAAAAAGAAACGAGUUCUACAACUUUCAAUACUUUCUAUGCCGUUUGAGAACCUUUUCAACGAACAACUUCUGAACACGGAGUGUUGUUUAUAAUUACCGCAACUUGAAGAGUAAAACAGUAGACUAUUAAACGGCCUUUUCUAAGUUGCCACCUUACCGAAAGAAAUGAAAACCCCGCAGAAGAUGCGCUCCUUUCGUUUAUCGAGUUGUCUCGAACAUCACUUUUUAGGAACAGGUGAUCACAGUUGGUGACUUGGAAAACUAUUCGGACACACAAGGGGAUUCCAAGGAGUUAGAAACCCAUAUCUAAACUUGGUCACGGGACUACUACUUAAUAUACUAAGUGGGCAUAGUGAACCUAGUCUCUGUCUCUUCAGUCCACGUAGACUUCUAGUGUUCUGAAACUACCCCAGCUGUUUACCCUUACUUUUAGACCUACGUACACUUUAUGUAGUAGUUCUUUGACGUCAGUGGUCUCUCUAACAUAACCUUUCACCAUGACGUCAACAGACACUUUGAAUAUAAGGGUACCCGAGUCCUCAAGUGUUGUACUUUAACCUUAUAGGUUCACUAUGUUGUCCACCGAGUCCUUGACUUCCGUCUCUGUCGUACUUCCUACUCCUCUCGAAAUCAGACUUACUUCGAGGUACGAUACAGCUUGCUGUACACCCACGUUCGUCUAGUUACGGACUGUUAUAUAACCGGUUCUUCUUCCGCGAGUGUAGCAACUGUCUUCAUAGCAAUGUUGUAGCUUCACUUAGUUAGGACUUCCGCCUGAAGCAAAACGUACUAAGACUCAGUUCGAUGUUUUCCGUUUUCUAACAAUUACCUCUACUCGUUGAUGGGUCGCUCGCGAACAGCUUCUAUGUAAGGGACGGUCGACCAACCGCAUGAGGUAAGCUACUGAGUGCAAUACGUAUGUUCCCAGAGAGUCUAGAUCCAAGCUGCUGUUUUCGGUAGAGUCUAGUUCAACAAGUACAAGAAAGCAGACUACUACUUCCGAGAGGUCUUGUAUGAUGAUACUUAUUCAGUGGCAACUUCCGUCUUGUCCCUAGGAGGAGGGGAGACAACAGUGAUAGGGACAGAUGUCGCCGUUUCUGCGCGUUUGAACGGUCAAGCCUGCGUCCUCUACUAGCUAGCGACAGAGAAAGAGAACCGGAGGGAGAGGGACCACAACGUUUUCCUUUGGUCCGAGACCUCUAUUUCGUCAAAGACGGCCUCUUCGGACCGUAUUUAUGAAGAAAAGUAGAAAUCUAUACGACCACAUGUCAAAACACAACACAAAUUGAAAUACCUCAAAUCUGUCCCAUCUUCAUACCAUAUCAACAAUUUAAUACUUGUAGAACCAGAAUAACGUGGCGAGAUACGUAGAGGACGUUGACAACCAAGUACGACCAGAUCACUACCAUAACUGACGAAAACAAACUAGAUACCUCAAAAUCAACGCCUUACAGUUAUGAAAGUAUGUGGAAGCAAUUGAACUAUGAAUGGGACCACCUGCUUUAAAACUUCAUGGUCUUGAACGUACAUAUAGACAGUACUGUCGUUUAUCACUCCAUCCUCAAUAGCUCAAAGUGUGCGCCCUCCGUCGAAGAGAUGCAAGAUGAUGUGCACUACUCCUCGACAGACGACAAGAGAAUUCGAGAAACGACCCACUUUUCUCUUACCACAACCCUGCAAACCACCUCGACUCACCGUUUCUUCUUAGCCCCGGUUUGUUAGGUAUAGGUCGCUUUCCCAACUUCUUUCUCCUUGUUUGUCUCCCAGUGCAACGAACUUGUGAUCCGAGGACACCUGGCUAUGGAGGCAACAAUGGAGAGGUCACUCUAUACGCUCGCUUCAUAACUGCGCGAAGCCAAAACUGACCAUGUUCUCUUCUCCCUACUAUAAUGGUUGCUCCAUACGGUAAGGUAAGUAUAAAUAAGUUAAUUAACCUUGAACUCACUACAUAACACGAUAAUGUAAAUAUUGUUCGACGUAUGAUCUUGAACGUUCUACUUACCUACGACGUACCCUCUCUUCCUUUCUCAUACUUACGGUGUACCCGUUGCCUUGGCCGUUUUAGUCCCAUGCCUACGCGGUGACUUAACGACUAUGAAACGACGAUGUGAUACAAUCGUACGUACAUACCACAGAAAUGCGGCGUGGAAAAUCGGGGAAGUCCUCAUUCCGACGUCACUCAUGGAGAGUAACAGAAUGGAUGUAUUGAUACCAGGCCAUGCACAUAAUUCGUAUAGUCUCUUGACGUCCUGGUGUAAUUUACGUGUAAAACCACAUUGUCUCAAAUAAACCAUAGCACAAUCAUGAGAAUGCAAUCAAGUACGUACCGUGAAACUUUUGGGAUAAGUUUCACCGACACCUUAACUUUUAAUGACGACACGACACGAUAACAGUUUUACAAAUAAAACCUUUGUGUGAACCUUUAUAGUGGGUACCCGUUAACGAAUCACAAAGAUAAGGUUUUGUGUUAAGUUCAUACCAUUAAUCAUCAAAGUGAAGACUUCGUGGAUGAAAGAGUUAAGAAGUACUCGAUGAAUGCAUCGUAUGUUCACACGGAAGUCACCAAACCGAAAUAAAGGAAAACCUAGGGAGACAGUUUAGUCUAGUAGCUUGUACACUACGACAAAGGAAGUUCUUACUUAAACAGAACUUACUUAGCAUAUUAACGUUGAUCUAACGCCUAUAUAAAUACUCUGGUACGAGACAGAAGUAAAAGGUAUAUCGUUAUCGUAGGAGAUUGACGUUCAACAUCAUCCCCCAGCGGAUCUUUACCGUACUGUAAUAAAACCGAGUAGAGUAUCAUAACCAUGUUUAAUCACAAUGCAGGGAUUUCCCGAAAAAAAAAAGGUACGACCCGUAACAUAAACAAGUAUCAUCCUAUAACACAUCCCUGAUGUCUGUAUGAAACAAAGAAUUCUCACGAUAGGUCAAAGUUGACGGAAUUUUCACGGUAUCGAAAAUGACGUGGCGAUCAAAACUGUAGACGAACAAUACUGCGUAGCGUGGUCAAAGUAAAUUGAUCAGGAUCACGAGACAAAAAAAAAAAACCCAUAAAAGAGAUUACAAACUUAGAUCCUACUUGGACCAACAACAUUUAGUUAAGUAUUUUAUACCGACAGG
rnacentral:rRNA from 1 species